rnacentral:rRNA from 1 species
AACGAACGCUGGCGGCAGGCCUCAAACAUGCAAGUCUAGGGGGUGUAGCAAUACAUCACCGGCGGACGGGUGCGUAACGCGUGGGAAUAUACCUAUUGGUUCGGAACAACUGAGGGAAACUUCAGCUAAUACCGGAUACGUCCUUACGGAGAAAGAUUUAUCGCCAAUAGAUUAGCCCGCGUUCGAUUAGCUAGUUGGUGGGGUAACGGCCCACCAAGGCGACGAUCGAUAGCUGUUCUGAGAGGAAGAUCAGCCACACUGGGACUGAGACACGGCCCAGACUCCUACGGGAGGCAGCAGUUGGGAAUCUUGGACAAUGGGGGAAACCCUGAUCCAGCCAUGCCGCGUGAGUGAUGAAGGCCUUCGGGUUGUAAAACUCUUUCGCGCACGACGAUAAUGACGGUAGUGCGAGAAGAAGCUCCGGCUAACUUCGUGCCAGCAGCCGCGGUAAU